rfam:Marvinbryantia formatexigens DSM 14469 B_formatexigens-1.0.1_Cont29.1, whole genome shotgun sequence.
UGAGUAGAGUAAAUGGUCGCGGCUGGCUGUCCGAAAGGUGCCAGACGAGGAAAGUCCGGGCUUCACAGGGCAGGAUGCCGGAUAACGUCCGGCGGAGGCGACUCCAGAGACAGUGCAACAGAAAUGAACCGCCGGCGUGCGCACCCGCAGAGGAUGCGCAUGUCUGGUAAGGGUGGAAGGGCAGUGUAAGAGACUACCGCCCGUCCGGUAACGGACGGGGCACAUGUAAACCUCAUCCGAAGCAAGACCGAAGAGAAGCAUAUGGCGGCCCGUCAGCUUCAGGUAGGUCGCUCGAACCUGGCGGCAACGCCAGGUCUGGAUAGAUGACCAUUCACGACAUAACCCGGCUUACCGCUCUGCUCACACA